CCAGCUGCUCGAGGGCGGCACGGAUUUCCUCGCCGUUGCCGUCGGCGAUCCCCGCGGUGACGUCGAUCAUGUCGGCCAGCGGGGCC
rnacentral:tRNA from 1 species